AGUUUGAUCCUGGCUCAGAGUGAACGCUGGCGGUAGGCCUAACACAUGCAAGUCGAACGGCAGCACAGAGGAGCUUGCUCCUUGGGUGGCGAGUGGCGGACGGGUGAGGAAUACAUCGGAAUCUACUCUGUCGUGGGGGAUAACGUAGGGAAACUUACGCUAAUACCGCAUACGACCUACGGGUGAAAGCAGGGGAUCUUCGGACCUUGCGCGAUUGAAUGAGCCGAUGUCGGAUUAGCUAGUUGGCGGGGUAAAGGCCCACCAAGGCGACGAUCCGUAGCUGGUCUGAGAGGAUGAUCAGCCACACUGGAACUGAGACACGGUCCAGACUCCUACGGGAGGCAGCAGUGGGGAAUAUUGGACAAUGGGCGCAAGCCUGAUCCAGCCAUACCGCGUGGGUGAAGAAGGCCUUCGGGUUGUAAAGCCCUUUUGUUGGGAAAGAAAUCCAGCUGGCUAAUACCCGGUUGGGAUGACGGUACCCAAAGAAUAAGCACCGGCUAACUUCGUGCCAGCAGCCGCGGUAA
rnacentral:rRNA from 1 species